GAUGAACGCUGGCGGCGUGCCCAACACAUGCAAGUCGAGCGAACCCUUCGGGGUGAGCGGCGGACGGGUGAGUAACGCGUGGGUAACCUGCCCUAUACACACGGAUAACGUACCGAAAGGUACGCUAAUACGGGAUAAUAUUGUUGGAUGGCAUCUUCUAACCAUCAAAGCUCCGGCGGUAUAGGAUGGACCCGCGUCUGAUUAGCUAGUUGGUGAGGUAAUGGCUCACCAAGGCGACGAUCAGUAGCCGACCUGAGAGGGUGAUCGGCCACACUGGAACUGAGACACGGUCCAGACUCCUACGGGAGGCAGCAGUGGGGAAUAUUGCACAAUGGGCGAAAGCCUGAUGCAGCAACGCCGCGUGAGCGAUGAAGGUCUUCGGAUCGUAAAGCUCUGUCCUCAAGGAAGAUAAUGACGGUACUUGAGGAGGAAGCCCCGGCUAACUACGUGCCAGCCGCCGCAGUAA
rnacentral:rRNA from 1 species